CCAACCAUAACACUGGGCUGUCAGGCGCUUCUUGGUGCCAGGUUUCACAAAUGAUCUGAAGUGACACGGCACAGGAUGAGGGAGGACCCACACUUUUUGCUUUAUUUUUCUGCCUCUCUUUAUGUAUGUAAUGGUGGGAUUCAAACCCAAACCAAAGGUAUCCAUCGGUUUUGGGAGAGACACCGAUUGUACGAUACCUUGAAGUGAUG
rnacentral:lncRNA from 1 species